GAUGAACGCUGACAGAAUGCUUAACACAUGCAAGUCAACUUGAACUUCGGUUUGGGUGGCGGACGGGUGAGUAACGCGUAAAGAACUUGCCUCACAGUUAGGGACAACAUUUGGAAACGAAUGCUAAUACCUGUUAUUAUGAUUUUAGGGCAUCCUAGAAUUAUGAAAGCUAUAUGCGCUGUGAGAGAGCUUUGCGUCCCAUUAGCUAGUUGGAGAGGUAACGGCUCACCAAGGCGAUGAUGGGUAGCCGGCCUGGGAGGGUGAACGGCCACAAGGGGACUGAGACACGGCCCUUACUCCUACGGGAGGAAGAAGUGGGGAAUAUUGGACAAUGGACCAAGAGUCUGAUCCAGCAAUUCUGUGUGCAAGAUGGAGUUUUUCGGAAUGUAAAGUGCUUUCAGUUGGGAAGAAAAAAAUGACGAUACCAACAGAAGAAGUGUCGGCUAAAUACGUG
rnacentral:rRNA from 1 species